AUUGAACGCUGGCGGCAUGCCUUACACAUGCAAGUCGAACGGCAGCGGGGGAGAAGCUUGCUUUUCCUGCCGGCGAGUGGCGAACGGGUGAGUAAUACAUCGGAACGUGCCCUGUAGUGGGGGAUAACUAGUCGAAAGAUUAGCUAAUACCGCAUACGACCUGAGGGUGAAAGUGGGGGACCGCAAGGCCUCAUGCUAUAGGAGCGGCCGAUGUCUGAUUAGCUAGUUGGUGGGGUAAAGGCCUACCAAGGCGACGAUCAGUAGCUGGUCUGAGAGGACGAUCAGCCACACUGAGACUGAGACACGGCCCAGACUCCUACGGGAGGCAGCAGUGGGGAAUUUUGGACAAUGGGCGAAAGCCUGAUCCAGCAAUGCCGCGUGUGUGAAGAAGGCCUUCGGGUUGUAAAGCACUUUUGUCAGGAAAGAAAUGGCUCUGGUUAAUACCUGGGGUCGAUGACGGUACCGGAAGAAUAAGGACCGGCUAACUACGUGCCAGCAGCCGCAGUAA
rnacentral:rRNA from 1 species